GAUGAACGCUGGCGGCGUGCCUAAUACAUGCAAGUCGAGCGAACGGACGAGAAGCUUGCUUCUCUGAUGUUAGCGGCGGACGGGUGAUUAACACGUGGAUAACCUACCUAUAAGACUGGGUUCACUUCGGGAAACCGGAUCUAACACCGGAUAAUAUUUUGAAACGCAUGGUUCAAAAGUGAAAGACGGUCUUGCUGUCACUUAUAGAUGGAUCCGCGAUGCAUUAGCUAGUUGGUAAGGUAACGGCUUACCAAGGCAACGAUGCAUAGCCGACCUGAGAGGGUGAACGGGCCACACGGAGAUGGGGAAAGGGCCAGACUCCUAAGGGAGGGAACAGGAGGGAAUCUUCGGCAAUGGGCGGAAGCCUGACGGAGCAACGCCGCGUGGGUGAAGAAGGUCUUCGGAGCGGAAAACUCUGUUAGUAGGGAAAGACAUAUGUGUAAGUAACUGUGCGCAUAUUGGCGGUAACUAGUCAGAUAACCACGGCUAACUACGUG
rnacentral:rRNA from 1 species